UGGGGAAUAUUGGACAAUGGAGGGAACUCUGAUCCAGCAAUUCUGUGUGUGUGAAGAAGGUUUUAGGACUGUAAAACACUUUUAGUAGGGAAGAAAAAAAUGACGGUACCUACAGAAGAAGCAACGGCUAAAUACGUGCCAGCAGCCGCGGUAAUACGUAUGUUGCGAGCGUUGUCCGGAAUUAUUGGGCGUAAAGGGUACGUAGGCGGUCUAUUAAGUCAGGUGUGAAAGCGUGAGGCUUAACCUCAUUAAGCACUUGAAACUGAUAGACUUGAGUGAAGGAGAGGAAAGUGGAAUUCCUAGUGUAGCGGUGAAAUGCGUAGAUAUUAGGAGGAAUACCGGUGGCGAAGGCGACUUUCUGGACUUUUACUGACGCUCAGGUACGAAAGCGUGGGGAGCAAACAGG
rnacentral:rRNA from 1 species